rnacentral:lncRNA from 1 species
GCAAGCGCUCCCCGAAUCCACGGGGAGACGUCCAUGGACGAUCCAUUCCCGAAUCCACGGUGUAACAUCCCAAAAUUUCAAAAAAAUUCAUGUACAUUGCAUCCAUGAGCAUCAUGCCACAAUUGCAUAUUUGAAUUCAAAUUUGGAUCUCAAAAGGCUUUGGAAAUAUUUUAUUUCAAUUUAAACCCUAGGGUUUACACCCAUUUGAACUUGGGAUCUUCAAACCAAUAUGGUUUAUUUAUAAAAGGGGUUUAUUGCAUAAAUAAGCUAUCCCAUAAUUUUUGGAUAAUUAUUUGGAGUUGAAAACGUAUUUUAUUUAAAUAGUUAUAUAGCCCUAAAGGCAUUUAUAGGGAAAAUAUAUUUUUAUAUAUUUUAUUUUGAGGAGAAAUUGCUCCAAAAAGUUGAAUCAUGAUAAAACAUGAUUUUACAAAUUUUCUGGAAUUAAUUUGGGCCAAUUUGGAGUUCAAAAUCAAAAGAUAUCAAAGAAAUGAGAAAAGGGAAAAAAGAAGAGAAGAAAAAAAAGAGAAAACCGGACCAGUCCGACCGGUUGGGCCGAACCAGCCCAGUCCCGACCACGCCCGAGCUGAACCGAGCCAGCCCGGUCCACAUGCGCGCCCGCAGUCACUGACAGGUGGGGCCCUCCUGUCAGCUGCUUCGUCUCCCCGAAGGAAAGCUCCGCCAUGUCCGCGCCGCCUGCCGUUUUCGCUGCCGCGCCGUCUCCACUG